rnacentral:tRNA from 1 species
GGGGCUGUGGCGCACUGGGUUAACGCGCUGGCCUGCAGUGCCGGCAUCCCACAUGGGUGCUGGUUUGAGACCAGGCUGCUCCA